UGGGGCAUGGCUCAGUGUGUAGAGCACUUGCCUAGCAUGCAUGAAGCCCUGGGUUCCAUCCCCAACACUGCAG
rfam:Mus musculus chromosome 5, GRC primary reference assembly.